UACGAAGGGGGCUAGCGUUGUUCGGAUUUACUGGGCGUAAAGCGCGUGUAGGCGGGUCGUUAAGUCGGGGGUGAAAUCCCGGGGCUCAACCCCGGAACUGCCUUCGAUACUGGUCGUCUGGAGUCCGAGAGAGGUGAGUGGAAUUCCGAGUGUAGAGGUGAAAUUCGUAGAUAUUCGGAGGAACACCAGUGGCGAAGGCGGCUCACUGGCUCGGUACUGACGCUGAGGUGCGAAAGCGUGGGGAGCAAACAGG
rnacentral:rRNA from 1 species